rnacentral:rRNA from 1 species
UACGUAGGGUGCAAGCGUUGUCCGGAAUUAUUGGGCGUAAAGGGCUCGUAGGCGGUCUGUCACGUCGGGAGUGAAAUCCCUCGGCUUAACCGAGGAACUGCCUGCCAGACUGUGAGGCUUGAGACCGGGAGAGGUGAGUGGAAUUCCCAGUGUAGCGGUGAAAUGCGUAGAUAUUGGGAGGAACACCAGUGGCGAAGGCGGCUCACUGGACCGGAACUGACGCUGAGGCGCGAAAGCGUGGGGAGCAAACAGG